UACGUGAGCCAGUCAUUUGCUGCAAAGACCAACGCAGAUUUGAAUGUGACGAGUUGCUUUUACACAGCUGCUUGUGUUGUUUGUAUUCAUGUUUCUAUAUAGAUUUGGGUCCCCCACCUCACCUCACCUCUCUGCCUCUCCAUUGCGGAAACUGUGCCAUCGUUGACAGCAUCUGUGAAAUCGGGAAGGAAACCCAAACAAGGAUAUGAGAGAGGGAGAGAGAGAGAGA
rnacentral:misc_RNA from 1 species